rnacentral:rRNA from 1 species
UACGUAGGGUGCAAGCGUUGUCCGGAAUUAUUGGGCGUAAAGAGCUCGUAGGCGGUUCGUCGCGUCGGCUGUGAAAUCCCGAGGCUCAACCUCGGGUCUGCAGUCGAUACGGGCUGACUGGAGUUCGGCAGGGGAGACUGGAAUUCCUGGUGUAGCGGUGAAAUGCGCAGAUAUCAGGAGGAACACCGGUGGCGAAGGCGGGUCUCUGGGCCGAUACUGACGCUGAGGAGCGAAAGCAUGGGGAGCGAACAGG